CUCAUCCUCUGCUGCUGUUUUCUGUGUCACAAGCUGAGAAAUCAGAUGCUCAAAUUUGGAAGAAGCCUCCAAUGGUUUGAUUUCGUAAGUGAAGUCAUCCAGCUGCAGCAUGCCACGCAGACCCCCAUGGCAGGUGUCCAGGGUGCCCGUGGACCCAGGAACCCCUUCCAGACUGGGAACAAGCAAACAGUACUGGACAGAUGGAUGACACACAAAGGGCCUAUUCACUCAGUGGGAAAAUCCUCACCUCACAUUUCUCAUCCUCUGCUGCUGUUUUCUGUGUCACAAGCUGAGAAAUCAGAUGCUCAAAUUUGGA